AAUCAAAAUAUGUUAUCCUUGCUUAUGAACUAAUCACAACAAACAAUACAUAGAAAUCAAGUAUCAAAUAACAUAUUCAAUAUCAAAUUAUAGAAUUAUAACUUUGAAUCAAAGUGAUAUAAAAUUUUAUUUCCAAAGAAUACAAAUUUAAGAAAACUAACUAAAUUAGAGGGAUGGUUUAAGAAAAAUAAUUAUAAGUCAAAU
rnacentral:lncRNA from 1 species